rnacentral:rRNA from 1 species
CCAGCUCCAAUAGCGUAUAUUUAAGUUGUUGCAGUUAAAAAGCUCGUAGUUGGAUUUCGGGUAGGUUCUAGCGGUCCGCCUCUGGUGUGUACUGCUAUGGCUUACCUUUCUGUCGGGGACUAGCUCUUGGGCUUAACUGUCCGGGACUAGGAAUCGGCGAGGUCACCGUGAGUAACUCGUAGUGUUCAAAGCAAGCAUUCGCUCUGAGCGCAUUAGCAUGGAAUGACAAUAUAGGACUCUGGCCUAUCUUGUUGGUCUGUAGGACUGGAGUAAUGAUUAAGAGGGACAGUCGGGGGCAUUCGUAUUUCAUUGUCAGAGGUGAAAUUCUUGGAUUUAUGAAAGACGAACUACUGCGAAAGCAUUUGCCAAGGAUGUUUUCA